GAUGAACGCUGGCGGCGUGCCUAAUACAUGCAAGUCGAGCGAACGGACGAGAAGCUUGCUUCUCUGAUGUUAGCGGCGGACGGGUGAGUAACACGUGGAUAACCUACCUAUAAGACUGGGAUAACUUCGGGAAACCGGAGCUAAUACCGGAUGAUAUUUUGAACCGCAUGGUUCAAAAGUGAAAGACGGUCUUGCUGUCACUUAUAGAUGGAUCCGCGCUGCAUUAGCUAGUUGGUAAGGUAACGGCUUACCAAGGAAACGAUGCAUAGCCGACCUGAGAGGGUGAUCGGCCACACUGGAACUGAGACACGGUCCAGACUCCUACGGGAGGCAGCAGUAGGGAAUCUUCCGCAAUGGGCGAAGGCCUGACGGAGCAACGCCGCGUGAGUGAUGAAGGUCUUCGGAUCGUAAAACUCUGUUAUUAGGGAAGAACAUAUGUGUAAGUAACUGUGCACAUCUUGACGGUACCUAAUCAGAAAGCCACGGCUAACUACGUG
rnacentral:rRNA from 1 species